AUUUGCAGAUUUCCGAGGACAACAGGGAGUGACCAUAUUCACUGCAUUGUUGGUAUCAUUCAUUAUGAGACUACAGACUUUCCGCAAAUUUCAGCAAGGGUAUUGGCAUCCCAUUAUUUAGUGGUAAGUUCCCAGGUAUCUUCUACUAGUGACAGUCUACUGGCAAAUCCAGACAUGCACUGGAAGGAUGCUGAUGUGGAGGUCACAGGGACACCUGAUCCAACAACUGUGGCAUUUCAUUCGGAGUAACAACCUCGCAUUUAUUUGAUAUGGGACCCGAUUAUUCAGAGAUUUCAGAGAACUGCAGAUUUUAUGAAGCUAUUUUUCACAGAAGAUUUGGUUUUUUUCAUCUAUAUUACCACCAACCAUUAUGCUGAGAUGGUCAUAUCUAGGGGGAAGGAUUGUCAUAUGCUUCCCAUGGAAGUUUGCAGCCUCUCGCUGAAGAAGAAUUGUACAGAUUUUUCUGCAUUAUCUUAUACAUGUCUGCUGUGAAGUUCCAGUUGAUAGACAUAUAUUGGUCAAUGCAUGCCGCUAUCGGAACAACCCAGUAUCAAGUAUUAUGUCUAGAAAUAGGUUUUAAAAGAUUGAAUAUAAGAAAACUUUUGUUAAAUAUGAUGCAAGUACAUUUAAAUCUAGUGCUUGAAAUAAGUACUUGAACAUUCGUAUACGUUGAACUUGGGGAGAAAAAACGGGUAGUACUUUUUGAUAACAUUUGAUAAGGUGUUGUUGCUUAGAAACCAAAUAUAUUUGAAUACAAAAAAUUAAAUUAUUUUAGAUUAACAAUAAAGAUCUUUGUUUUAAUGUAACAAUAUUCAUUCUAUUUAGUGGAACAUAAUGUCAAAACGCCAUAUUAUUAGAAAAUUAUUUAUAGGUAUAUAAAGUACGAAGUUUCCAUUUUAUUACCUUUGGCCUUAAUUUUCUUCAUCAUAUUUUUGAUAAAAACAUUUCAAAAUGAUUAAGAUCUAUUUAAAGAUUAUAUUUUUAAAAUAAUAUGACAUUUACUAAUCAUCAUGCAACGUAAUUAUGUUUAAAUUGUGUUGAAUGGAUGCAGAAAAGCAAAUUCUGGUCAAAAUUGUACCAU